rnacentral:lncRNA from 1 species
UUGAAAGACAGAUGCCAUGCCAGUUUGUUCUCAGUCGUUCCAGUGCCUCCUGGGAGGCUCCUGGGGAGGAGGCACCUCACCAGCCAUAACCAUGAGCACAGCCAUUGCAUGGUCCCUGCCUGUCUGAGUCCCUCACCCACCGCAGAGACUGGGGGGGUGGGGGGGGAGGGAGGUGGAGGGGGUGGCACAAUGCUGGGUGGGGACACGGCCACUAACAGAGCAGAAGAUGUGGAGGCCUCAGGCCGGGGUCCAUGCGUGUGCAGAGUGAUUUCUACAUUGUGCUGGAUUUAAUAGAACCAUAAGGGGCACACAGCCUCCGUCUCCUCCUUUUGCACCAGGAAGAACCAGCAGCAAGCCCCUGAGCCCCCGCGAUGUCAGCACAGCAGCCCUGGAGAAGCAUGCCCAGUCUUCCAGGAAACCUUCAGGAAACCUUUAUUUUUCAGUGAUAUUCUUUCCUCUCAAAAAAUACAAAAUACAAAAAAUACAAUACCCUGAUAUACAAAUGCUUUGUGAGUCUCCUCCUCUGUCCCCUGCCUUGUCUAGAGCUCCCUCCCAGCUGUGACCCACCUACAUCAUCUGGGGUUCCCGGCAUGAGCCUCCAUCACUUGCUGUUGACUUGCAAUGGCAUAAAGAUGAAUAACACAAAACUCCUCCUGUAAACUAGAACAAGGAAAAAAAUGUCAUUUGCUGAUGUCCAUUGCUAAGCUGGAACAGACUGUUUAUUUCAAGUAAUUUCCUAAUAUGAUUUUGAAAUUAUCAGCUAACAACAUAAGUCAAAUUACCACCUAGUUCAGCACGGACAUUGGUGUAUGUGGGCAAUGAUAAUUACAGAUAUGGCUUAGAGAAGCAUUCUUUUACAAGGAAAAAGAAGCUGAAAAGCCAAACAUAUUCACUAUCAUGGACUCAUCUACCCAUUCUGAGGUACUAGACAUUUAAUCCUUCAGUCUUGGCUCACCGUGUGGAUGAAUGCUGUCUUCCCUGCUGCCCUGUUUCUGAGUUAAAAGCUCUGCUACCCCUUCAAACAUUGCCUGUAAGAGCACUGCUUACACCUGUAGGUCCACCUUUCCCUCUUCUCAUCACUAGGCCAUCUGCAGUAAGUACUUAUUCCCACAAAAGCAGCCCUCAAAUGGGUCCCCUCUCAGGGACUGCUGCAGUGUUUGGAAAGUCACCUGAGCCAGCUCCUGUGCUCCUCCACCAUCAAUUUACACCCACACUCCCAAGCUGUGCCCGUACUGUGAUCUGGCCAGAAUCAUAGAAAUUGGUGCCAUCAGGAGCAGGCUCAGCAGCACUU